rnacentral:rRNA from 1 species
CAUAAUGAACUAUCAAGCUAGAGUACAGGAGAGGAAAGCGGAAUUCCUAGUGUAGCGGUGAAAUGCGUAGAUAUUAGGAAGAACACCAGUGGCGAAGGCGGCUUUCUGGACUGAAACUGACGCUGAGGCUCGAAAGCGUGGGGAGCGAACAGGAUUAGAUACCCUGGUAGUCCACGCCGUAAACGAUGAGUGCUAGGUGUCGGGGAGGAAUCCUCGGUGCCGGAGCAAACGCAAUAAGCACUCCACCUGGGGAGUACGACCGCAAGGUUGAAACUCAAAGGAAUUGACGGGGGCCCGCACAAGCGGUGGAGCAUGUGGUUUAAUUCGAAGCAACGCGAAGAACCUUACCAAGGCUUGACAUCCCAUUGACGGCGUUAGAGAUAACGCUUUUCUACGGAACAAUGGAGACAGGUGGUGCAUGGUUGUCGUCAGCUCGUGUCGUGAGAUGUUGGGUUAAGUCCCGCAACGAGCGCAACCCUUAUUGUUAGUUGCUACGCAAGAGCACUCUAGCGAGACUGCCGUUGACAAAACGGAGGAAGGUGGGGACGACGUCAAAUCAUCAUGCCCCUUAUGUCCUGGGCCACACACGUACUACAAUGGUGGUCAACAGAGGGAAGCAAUACCGCGAGGUGGAGCAAAUCCCUAAAAGCCAUCCCAGUUCGGAUUGCAGGCUGAAACCCGCCUGUAUGAAGUUGGAAUCGCUAGUAAUCGCGGAUCAGCAUGCCGCGGUGAAUACGUUCCCGGGCCUUGUACACACCGCCCGUCACACCAUGAGAGUCGGGAACACCCGAAGUCCNNNNNCUAACCGCAAGGAGGGCGCGGCCGAAGGUGGGUUCGAUAAUUGGGGUGAAGUGGUAACAAGGUAGCCGUAA